CAUUAUCUAAUAAUGACCGGAGCGAUAGGGUAGUGGCCAUAGCUGCAUAAAGAAAAACCAGACCUAUAUUAGUAUAUAAAUUAUUAAUACUAAAGACUUGGACUUUAGUCUAAAGUUUCUCUCAGUAUUUUUACGAACUGGUAGCCUCAACCUCCAAUUUGAGGAAUUACUUUAAUUCCUUAGUGGGUACUAGAAUCCACAC
rnacentral:lncRNA from 1 species